CAUAUCAGUAAGCGGAGGAAAAGAAACUAACCAGGAUUCUCCUAGUAACGGCGAGUGAACGGAGAUUAGCCCAUCACCGAAGCCUGCGUGUGUUUGCAUGCUAGGCAAUGUGGUGUUAAGGUGUGUACCUGGGAUCGUGUACCUACCCGAAGUCUAAAUCCGAUUGUGGCUUUGGAUUCAUUCCAUAGCGGGUGAAAGUCCCGUGCGGGUAGGACUAUUGCAAAUCGCACGGUCCUCAGAUGUGCAUGCUUUCGAGUCGGAUUGCUUGAGAAUGCAGUCCAAAGUGGGUGGUAAACUCCAUCCAAGGCUAAAUACUGGCACGAGUCCGAUAGUAGACAAGUACCGUGAGGGAAAGUUGAAAAGUACUCUGAAGAGAGAGUAAAUAGUACGUGAAGCCGAUUGCAGGGAAGCUGGUGGAGUCAAGCUUCGUGCUUGGUGGAUUGAUGCUGGGAGCAGGUGUGUGAUUUGGAUGUGAGGAUGGACAACUUGGAAUAAGUUGGGUGUGUUCUGAAUGCACUUCAAGUCAUUCCGGGUAGAGUGUUAUGAGCUGUCCUCGCUUUCCUACUCUCAGUGUUGUAUUCACCGCUGCACAGGCCACAGUCAGUAGGUGCAUGCGGUAUGAGGGCCUAACUGUGCUUCGGCGGGUGCAAGCUCGCCGGGUGCAGGAUGGCAGGUGCUGUCUUCGGGCCUUGUGUCUGUUGAUAGUUGUUGUGGUUUUGACCGGCUGGUCCUCAUACUGUAUUGUGCUUAUUGCCUAUGAGUGGCGUAGCUUCCUCGGAAGUUGCGCUCUGUAGAACUGUGGCUCUGAGUAGU
rnacentral:rRNA from 1 species